ensembl:misc_RNA
CCAGCAGUCCCUUUUUUUCCAGACAAAGGGUUGUGAGCCCGCCUGGGGAUGAGGCCUCGUGUGGUGGAAGCUGCACUUAGCUUCGCGGGGCUGACAGCUUUGGCCCAGGGCGGUAUGUAAG